rnacentral:rRNA from 1 species
GACGUAGGGGGCCAGCGUUGUUCGGAAUUACUGGGUGUAAAGGGUUCGUAGGCGGUGUGGCAAGUCGGGAGUGAAAUCUCUGGCUCGAACUCAGAGACUGCUUCCGAAACUGCUGUGCUGGAGGUGUGGGAGAGGCGCGUGGAAUUGCAAGGUGUAGCGGUGAAAUGCGUAGAUAUCUGCAGGAACACCCGUGGCGAAAGCGGCGCGCUGGACCAGCUACUGACGCUGAGGCGCGAAAGCUAGGGGAGCAAACGGG